rfam:Flavobacteria bacterium RIFCSPLOWO2_12_FTLL_31_7 rifcsplowo2_12_scaffold_54569, whole genome shotgun sequence.
UAAAUUUGCACCCGUAUUGAGAUAAUCUCAAUCUACAUAAUAAUCAUUUAAAUAAUAUUAGCAUG